CCUACGGGAUGCAGCAGUGGGGAAUAUUGGGCAAUGGGCGAAAGCCUGACCCAGCAACGCCGCGUGAAGGAAGAAGGCUUUCGGGUUGUACACUUCUUUUGACAGGGAAGAGCAGAAGACGGUACCUGUCGAAUAAGCCACGGCUAAAUACGUGCCAGCAGACGCGGUAAUACGUAGGUGGCAAGUGGUGUCCGGAUUUACUGGGUGUAAAGGGCGGGUUGCCGGGCUGAAAAGUCAGAUGUGAAAUCCGGGGGUGCAACCCCCGAACUGCAUUUGAAACUGUUGGUCUUGAGUAUAGGAGAGGCAGGCGGAAUUCCUAGUGUAGCGGUGAAAUGCGUAGAUAUUAGGAGGAACACCAGUGGCGAAGGCGGCCUGCUGGACGACAACUGACGGUGAGGCGCGAAAGCGUGGGGAGCAAACAGGAUUAGAUACCCGGGUAGUC
rnacentral:rRNA from 1 species